rnacentral:rRNA from 1 species
UUAAGCGACUAAGCGUACACGGUGGAUGCCCUGGCAGUCAGAGGCGAUGAAGGACGUGCUAAUCUGCGAUAAGCGUCGGUAAGGUGAUAUGAACCGUUAUAACCGGCGAUUUCCGAAUGGGGAAACCCAGUGUGUUUCGACACACUAUCAUUAACUGAAUCCAUAGGUUAAUGAGGCGAACCGGGGGAACUGAAACAUCUAAGUACCCCGAGGAAAAGAAAUCAACCGAGAUUCCCCCAGUAGCGGCGAGCGAACGGGGAGCAGCCCAGAGCCUGAAUCAGUGUGUGUGUUAGUGGAAGCGUCUGGAAAGGCGCGCGAUACAGGGUGACAGCCCCGUACACAAAAAUGCACAUGCUGUGAGCUCGAUGAGUAGGGCGGGACACGUGGUAUCCUGUCUGAAUAUGGGGGGACCAUCCUCCAAGGCUAAAUACUCCUGACUGACCGAUAGUGAACCAGUACCGUGAGGGAAAGGCGAAAAGAACCCCGGCGAGGGGAGUGAAAAAGAACCUGAAACCGUGUACGUACAAGCAGUGGGAGCACGCUUAGGCGUGUGACUGCGUACCUUUUGUAUAAUGGGUCAGCGACUUAUAUUCUGUAGCAAGGUUAACCGAAUAGGGGAGCCGAAGGGAAACCGAGUCUUAACUGGGCGUUAAGUUGCAGGGUAUAGACCCGAAACCCGGUGAUCUAGCCAUGGGCAGGUUGAAGGUUGGGUAACACUAACUGGAGGACCGAACCGACUAAUGUUGAAAAAUUAGCGGAUGACUUGUGGCUGGGGGUGAAAGGCCAAUCAAACCGGGAGAUAGCUGGUUCUCCCCGAAAGCUAUUUAGGUAGCGCCUCGUGAACUCAUCUCCGGGGGUAGAGCACUGUUUCGGCAAGGGGGUCAUCCCGACUUACCAACCCGAUGCAAACUGCGAAUACCGGAGAAUGUUAUCACGGGAGACACACGGCGGGUGCUAACGUCCGUCGUGAAGAGGGAAACAACCCAGACCGCCAGCUAAGGUCCCAAAGUCAUGGUUAAGUGGGAAACGAUGUGGGAAGGCCCAGACAGCCAGGAUGUUGGCUUAGAAGCAGCCAUCAUUUAAAGAAAGCGUAAUAGCUCACUGGUCGAGUCGGCCUGCGCGGAAGAUGUAACGGGGCUAAACCAUGCACCGAAGCUGCGGCAGCGACGCUGAUGCGUUGUUGGGUAGGGGAGCGUUCUGUAAGCCUGCGAAGGUGUGCUGUGAGGCAUGCUGGAGGUAUCAGAAGUGCGAAUGCUGACAUAAGUAACGAUAAAGCGGGUGAAAAGCCCGCUCGCCGGAAGACCAAGGGUUCCUGUCCAACGUUAAUCGGGGCAGGGUGAGUCGACCCCUAAGGCGAGGCCGAAAGGCGUAGUCGAUGGGAAACAGGUUAAUAUUCCUGUACUUGGUGUUACUGCGAAGGGGGGACGGAGAAGGCUAUGUUGGCCGGGCGACGGUUGUCCCGGUUUAAGCGUGUAGGCUGGUUUUCCAGGCAAAUCCGGAAAAUCAAGGCUGAGGCGUGAUGACGAAGCACUACGGUGCUGAAGCAACAAAUGCCCUGCUUCCAGGAAAAGCCUCUAAGCAUCAGGUAACAUCAAAUCGUACCCCAAACCGACACAGGUGGUCAGGUAGAGAAUACCAAGGCGCUUGAGAGAACUCGGGUGAAGGAACUAGGCAAAAUGGUGCCGUAACUUCGGGAGAAGGCACGCUGAUAUGUAGGUGAAGUCCCUUGCGGAUGGAGCUGAAAUCAGUCGAAGAUACCAGCUGGCUGCAACUGUUUAUUAAAAACACAGCACUGUGCAAACACGAAAGUGGACGUAUACGGUGUGACGCCUGCCCGGUGCCGGAAGGUUAAUUGAUGGGGUUAGCCGCAAGGCGAAGCUCUUGAUCGAAGCCCCGGUAAACGGCGGCCGUAACUAUAACGGUCCUAAGGUAGCGAAAUUCCUUGUCGGGUAAGUUCCGACCUGCACGAAUGGCGUAAUGAUGGCCAGGCUGUCUCCACCCGAGACUCAGUGAAAUUGAACUCGCUGUGAAGAUGCAGUGUACCCGCGGCAAGACGGAAAGACCCCGUGAACCUUUACUAUAGCUUGACACUGAACAUUGAGCCUUGAUGUGUAGGAUAGGUGGGAGGCUUUGAAGUGUGGACGCCAGUCUGCAUGGAGCCGACCUUGAAAUACCACCCUUUAAUGUUUGAUGUUCUAACGUUGACCCGUAAUCCGGGUUGCGGACAGUGUCUGGUGGGUAGUUUGACUGGGGCGGUCUCCUCCUAAAGAGUAACGGAGGAGCACGAAGGUUGGCUAAUCCUGGUCGGACAUCAGGAGGUUAGUGCAAUGGCAUAAGCCAGCUUGACUGCGAGCGUGACGGCGCGAGCAGGUGCGAAAGCAGGUCAUAGUGAUCCGGUGGUUCUGAAUGGAAGGGCCAUCGCUCAACGGAUAAAAGGUACUCCGGGGAUAACAGGCUGAUACCGCCCAAGAGUUCAUAUCGACGGCGGUGUUUGGCACCUCGAUGUCGGCUCAUCACAUCCUGGGGCUGAAGUAGGUCCCAAGGGUAUGGCUGUUCGCCAUUUAAAGUGGUACGCGAGCUGGGUUUAGAACGUCGUGAGACAGUUCGGUCCCUAUCUGCCGUGGGCGCUGGAGAACUGAGGGGGGCUGCUCCUAGUACGAGAGGACCGGAGUGGACGCAUCACUGGUGUUCGGGUUGUCAUGCCAAUGGCACUGCCCGGUAGCUAAAUGCGGAAGAGAUAAGUGCUGAAAGCAUCUAAGCACGAAACUUGCCCCGAGAUGAGUUCUCCCUGACUCCUUGAGAGUCCUGAAGGAACGUUGAAGACGACGACGUUGAUAGGCCGGGUGUGUAAGCGCAGCGAUGCGUUGAGCUAACCGGUACUAAUGAACCGUGAGGCUUAACCUU